rnacentral:rRNA from 1 species
UACAACCUACGGGGGGCAGCAGUGAGGAAUAUUGGUCAAUGGUCGGGAGACUGAACCAGCCAAGCCGCGUGAGGGAUGAAGGUACAGAGUAUCGUAAACCUCUUUUGUCAGGGAACAAAGGCGGGGACGCGUCCCCGGAUGAGUGUACCUGAAGAAAAAGCAUCGGCUAACUCCGUGCCAGCAGCCGCGGUAAUACGGAGGAUGCGAGCGUUAUCCGGAUUUAUUGGGUUUAAAGGGUGCGUAGGCGGAAGGUUAAGUCAGCGGUCAAAUGUCGGUGCUCAACACCGGCCAGCCGUUGAACCGGG